ensembl:lncRNA
AACUAGUUCUGCUGCUAAAUGAGCGUAAUCAUAUUAAUUAGGGCUGUGUAAGCACACCUGUGCAGAGAACCGCGGCUCCCACAGUCCCUCCAGUGCACACAGGUGCUCUUCCCCUGUGGUUCCUGUCAAAUUCUUCAGCUCCUGAGACAGGAGAUCUCACACUCUUCACACGCGGCCCAUCUGUCAGCCGCAGCUCCAUGAUGAGCUCUGUUUCUUCAGGGAGACGGGCUGCUAAAAGCUUUUCAACACCAACAUCUCACCCUGAUCCCACAGAAAUCAAAGAGAGCAAAUCUCUCCUGUCGAAACGCAGUGGAUGUGAAGGAAGGAAGAGUGAGACUGUAGCUGAUCAAAGCAGAGUUAAUCACGUCCGAUCACAACAUGAGCAUGUGUGUUCAUAACUGCUUAUGAUCAUAUGCAGAUAUUACUACAGCAAACAAAUCUGCCUUGACUGAACAAGAGUAAUGUCAGGUUUUCAUAUCUGUUGCAUUUCUGAGCUCAUGCAUAAUAAAUAAACACAAGAAACAGAUACAGCUGAGAAUGCUGAACUCCCAAUUAAACUAGUUUUACAUGUUGGCAUGUAAUUGCUCAGAUUUUUUAAAAUGGUUUUUAGUGUGUUUCUAUGGCACUGCUAGACAGUCCAAUUAGUCUAGUAUCAGUCUAAUCUGGUACUCGUAUCAGUAAAGUAAUGCCGCAAUAAACUAAAGAAAUGAUUAAUAUGUAAGUCUGCUUUAAAAAAUUACACAUUUGAACACAGCCAGAAUGUGCAUGCAUUACGAGACAUGUUCAAAUUCUUACUCUUUUUAACAAGGGUAUAAUUGUGUCUUUACGUGGACUAAAGGAACACGGUAAAAACUGACAUCUUAACAAGGCCAGAAUGUGUUUGUCUAGGUGGUAUACAUGGUCAAAUUUGACAUAUUCUGUUUAAAGACGUUUGCCCCCGUCUGCCUUCCAUAUGGUCAUUCCCUCUAGUAAUAUUUAUUAUAAAG